rnacentral:lncRNA from 1 species
UCCUUUUUAGAUAAACAAUUGCAUUAUCUUGCAUAACAUUAUAUUGCGAUAAAAAAAAUGGGAAUUGAAUUGCCCCUAGCAUUACUAAAUGCUGACACUAUUUUUUUCUGUUAACAAUUAUGCGGAUGUUAGAGAUGCCUUGGUAACAUAUGCCACUUAGUGCAUCGUGCACUGGGCUUGAGCACAAAAAAUGUUAAAUUUUAAAUAAAUUUGGUCUGAAGCCCGGCCUGGCCCAUGACUACCUCUCGUGCAGGAUCAUAUGAUUGAUGGGCUGUUGGAUUUGUGAGCUUACCCUUUCGUAUUGAGAGAUUUCCAUCUACCUACCUAUUCGUAAGCACUCAUCUCAGGCUAUCCCCUUUUCCACUGGGACUGACCUGGAGAGACCCAGUCCUCCCUCCAAUCACAGCAAUCUACGUUUGGGAUCAUGACCAUGAUUGAUUGGAUUCAUGAUUGAUUAAACCAUACCCCAUCCAGUAUCAUGGAUUUGCCAUUCUACAUGCUUUGAGGCUCCUCCGUAUGGGUAGCCAUGAUAAGAGGAUUGGACCUGUCCACUUUAACCUGAAUUGGGCAUGGAUCGGAACCCAAAUGCAAUCAAUCACUCAAUGAUAA